CACUUUUGCUAUACCAAGCUGAAAACACCUGAUCUCCUCUAAACUUGGAAGCUAAGCAGACCAGGACCAGGGCCUGUGAGUAGCUGGAUGGGAAAAAUCACCUGAAAACAGGCAAAAGUCC
rnacentral:rRNA from 1 species